rnacentral:lncRNA from 7 species
GGGUAUCUCACUGGAGAUCCCUGCCUAUCUGAGGCCUUCUGAAGGGCACGUCAAGGGAAAACUGACAUGUCACUGAAGACCCAGAAAGAAAGAAUGCCGGAGAAGAGGUAAAUCAUAGAAAAGCCUAAGCAUCACCUCUGCUCAGAUGGAAGAAGAAAAAAAGAAAAAAAAGCCAGACCCAAACCUUGCCCACCUGGGCAUCCUGCGUGGGAUGGAAUCCAGCCCUGCACUGCCCAGCAAUGGGUCUCCUCUCUGCUUUGUGCAAAGGAAGAUUAAGCAGAAGGGAUAAGAAAAGACAGGGGAAAAAAAUGCAUUUCUUUGCAGUAAACACAGCCUGCAGCCAUCGGUUUCUCUCAGCAUUGGAUGGCAAUUAUUUCUGUGUAAUAAGCAGUCACCCGAUGACCCUCCCCUUCAGCUUGCAACGCUUCUGCUGUCAAGUGUUAAUCCCUUUGUUAGCUACUCAGCUGCACAUUCAUUUAGGAGGACUAAUGACUUACACUGUUCCUUCUCUGCACGAUUUCAGCAGACGUGUAAUUAGAGGUGAAUGGCAGCUUCAGAGGUACGGCUACCACUGGGGCCGGGGGCAAAGUCAAAGUGUUUGUCUGAUUUCACCAUGGGCUGUUUCAGUGAGUGAAACCAUGUGGGCGGCUGCAUAUGGGGGGGAAAGGAAGUAGGAAAGGAGAAGCCAAAAAAAAAGAGAAAGGAUAAGAGUCAGUUGUUGGGCAUUUGGGGAGCUC